rnacentral:rRNA from 1 species
GACGAACGCUGGCGGCGUGCUUAACACAUGCAAGUCGAACGGAAAGGCCCUGCUUUUGUGGGGUGCUCGAGUGGCGAACGGGUGAGUAACACGUGAGUAACCUGCCCUUGCCUUUGGGAUAACUUCAGGAAACUGGGGCUAAUACCGGAUAGGAGCUCCUGCUGCAUGGUGGGGUUUGGAAAGUUUCGGCGGUUGGGGAUGGACUCGCGGCUUAUCAGCUUGUUGGUGGGGUAGUGGCUUACCAAGGCUUUGACGGGUAGCCGGCCUGAGAGGGUGACCGGCCACAUUGGGACUGAGAUACGGCCCAGACUCCUACGGGAGGCAGCAGUGGGGAAUAUUGCACAAUGGGCGGAAGCCUGAUGCAGCAACGCCGCGUGCGGGAUGACGGCCUUCGGGUUGUAAACCGCUUUCGCCUGUGACGAAGCGUGAGUGACGGUAAUGGGUAAAGAAGCACCGGCUAACUACGUG